CAGGGGGGCUUACCAUGCAGUCGAGCGGAAGGCCCUUCGGGGUACUCGAGCGGCGAACGGGUGAGUAACACGUGAGCAACCUGCCCCAGGCUUUGGGAUAACCCCGGGAAACCGGGGCUAAUACCGAAUAUGACCUCUGACCGCAUGGUUGGUGGUGGAAAGUUUUUCGGCUUGGGAUGGGCUCGCGGCCUAUCAGCUUGUUGGUGGGGUGAUGGCCUACCAAGGCGACGACGGGUAGCCGGCCUGAGAGGGCGACCGGCCACACUGGGACUGAGACACGGCCCAGACUCCUACGGGAGGCAGCAGUGGGGAAUAUUGCACAAUGGGCGGAAGCCUGAUGCAGCGACGCCGCGUGAGGGAUGACGGCCUUCGGGUUGUAAACCUCUUUCAGCAGGGACGAAGCGUAAGUGACGGUACCUGCAGAAGAAGCGCCGGCCAACUACGUGCCAGCAGCCGCGGUAAGACGUAGGGCGCGAGCGUUGUCCGGAUUUAUUGGGCGUAAAGAGCUCGUAGGCGGCUUGUCGCGUCGACUGUGAAAACCCGCAGCUCAACUGCGGGCCUGCAGUCGAUACGGGCAGGCUAGAGUUCGGUAGGGGAGACUGGAAUUCCUGGUGUAGCGGUGAAAUGCGCAGAUAUCAGGAGGAACACCGGUGGCGAAGGCGGGUCUCUGGGCCGAUACUGACGCUGAGGAGCGAAAGCGUGGGGAGCGAACAGGAUUAGAUACCCUGGUAGUCCACGCUGUAAACGUUGGGCGCUAGGUGUGGGGGGCCUCUCCGGUUCCCUGUG
rnacentral:rRNA from 1 species